GGCCCCGUGGCGGAACGGUAGACGCGGCGGAUUUAAAAUCCGUUGCUCGUGAGAGCGUGUCGGUUCGAGCCCGACCGGGGCUA
rnacentral:tRNA from 2 species